CAGAGGUCUCUACAGUCCGACCAGUCGUCGCCUUCCCCCGGCAGAGGGCUCUACUGUCAGACCAGUCGUCGCCUUCCCCCGGCAGAGGUCUCUACUGUCAGACCAGUCGUCGCCUUCCCCCGGCAGAGGUCUCUACUGUCAGACCAGUCGUCGCCUUCCCCCGGCAGAGGUCUCUACUGUCAGACCAGUCGUCGCCUUCCCCCGGCAGAGGUCUCUACUGUAACACUAUGGGAGUCUCCCGAGGCAGAAAGAUCUCACCCUGUGGU